AACGAACGCUGGUGGUAUGCUUAACACAUGCAAGUCGAACGAGCACGACCUAGCUUGCUAGGUACGGCUAGUGGCAGACGGGUGAGUAAUACAUAGGAAUCUACCCAGUAGUAAGGAAUAACUUAUGGAAACAUAAGCUAAUACUGUAUACUACCGAUUUAUCGGGAAGGGCUUCGGCCGCUAUUGGAUGAGCUUAUGCCAGAUUAGCUAGUUGGUAGGGUAAAGGCCUACCAAGGCUGUGAUCUGUAGCUGGUUUGAGAGAAUGAUCAGCCACACUGGGACUGCGACACGGCCCAGACUCCUACGGGAGGCAGCAGUGAGGAAUUUUGGACAAUGGGCGAAAGCCUGAUCCAGCAAUACCACGUGAGUGAUGAAGGCCUUCGGGUUGUAAAGCUCUUUUAGUAGGGAAGAUAGUGACGGUACCUACAGAAAAAGCACCGGCUAAUUCCGUGCCAGCCGCCGCCGUAA
rnacentral:rRNA from 1 species